UUUCAGCGGUUUUUAUCAGAUUCCUGUUCUGAUAAAAGUUGGUGAGAUGGCAAACCGCCAACGUAGCGACUCGCAGUGGAUUGACACCGAGACGAUACGUUUUUUU
rnacentral:ncRNA from 1 species